rnacentral:rRNA from 1 species
ACGAACGCUGGCGGCGUGCUUAACACAUGCAAGUCGAACGGUGAUGGUGGGAGCUUGCUCCUACCGGAUCAGUGGCGAACGGGUGAGUAACACGUGAGUAACCUGCCCCAGACUCUGGAAUAACCCCGGGAAACCGGAGCUAAUACCGGAUACGAGACGAAGCUGCAUGGCUAUCGUCUGGAAAGUUUUUCGGUCUGGGAUGGACUCGCGGCCUAUCAGCUUGUUGGUGAGGUAACGGCUCACCAAGGCGACGACGGGUAGCCGGCCUGAGAGGGCGACCGGCCACACUGGGACUGAGACACGGCCCAGACUCCUACGGGAGGCAGCAGUGGGGAAUAUUGCACAAUGGGCGAAAGCCUGAUGCAGCGACGCCGCGUGAGGGAUGACGGCCUUCGGGUUGUAAACCUCUUUCAGCAGGGAAGAAGCGAAAGUGACGGUACCUGCAGAAGAAGCACCGGCUAACUACGU